GGUGGUUUAGCUCAGUGGUUAGAGCUUAGGUCUUGUGACCACAGGUCCCGGGUUCGAACCUCGCCAGAAGUG
rnacentral:tRNA from 1 species